UUGGGCAUUUUUAAUCCCUGGGCGCAGCAUACAAGAAGAGAAAUCCAGUGAGUUUUCAUCUGGCGUUAGAGCAGCAAGCGACAUGAAGCUUAUGAGGUUGUUCCACACUUUGUCUAUAUCCUUCAGCAGCUGUUGGAGUUUCUCACUACAAACAGCAGUUGCUUUGAUUCCCAGUUCAACUCUCUUUGUUACUCUGUAGACUUCAACAACCCCCAGCAAAUAUUCCAUGCCUUGAGCAGACUGGAUAACCUCAGUGCAAACAGAUGAGCUGCUUAUUCCAUUCAAGGUAUCGUUUGCUUUCUUUAUGACCUGCAGGGCACUCUCCAGGCACCUCUGCCACUCAUAUGCAUACCUCUCGCUUUCCUCAACCUCCC
rnacentral:lncRNA from 1 species